GACGAACGCUGGCGGCGUGCUUAACACAUGCAAGUCGAACGGAAAGGCCCUGCUUUUGUGGGGUGCUCGAGUGGCGAACGGGUGAGUAACACGUGAGUAACCUGCCCUUGACUUUGGGAUAACUUCAGGAAACUGGGGCUAAUACCGGAUAGGAGCUCCUGCUGCAUGGUGGGGGUUGGAAAGUUUCGGCGGUUGGGGAUGGACUCGCGGCUUAUCAGCUUGUUGGUGGGGUAGUGGCUUACCAAGGCUUUGACGGGUAGCCGGCCUGAGAGGGUGACCGGCCACAAGGGGACUGAGAUACGGCCCAGACUCCUACGGGAGGCAGAAGGGGGGAAUAUUGCACAAUGGGCGGAAGCCUGAUGCAGCAACGCCGCGUGCGGGAUGACGGCCUUCGGGUUGUAAACCGCUUUCGCCUGUGACGAAGCGUGAGUGACGGUAAUGGGUAAAGAAGCACCGGCUAACUACGUG
rnacentral:rRNA from 1 species